rnacentral:rRNA from 1 species
AGUGAACGCUGGCGGUAGGCCUAACACAUGCAAGUCGAACGGCAGCACAGUAAGAGCUUGCUCUUCCGGGUGGCGAGUGGCGGACGUGUCAGGAAUACAUCGGACUCUACUUUUUCGUGGGGGAUAACGUAGGGAAACUUACGCUAAUACCGCAUACGACCUACGGUUGAAAGCAGGGGAUCUUCGGACCUUGCGCGAUUGAAUGAGCCGAUGUCGGGUUAGCUAGUUGGCGGGGUAAAGGCCCACCAAGGCGACGAUCCGUAGCUGGUCUGAGAGGAUGAUCAGCCACACUGGAACUGAGACACGGUCCAGACUCGUACGGGAGGCAGCAGUGGGGAAUAUUGGACAAUGGGCGCAAGCCUGAUCCAGCCAGACCGCGUGGGUGAAGAAGGCCUUCGGGUUGUAAAGCCCUUUUGUUGGGAAAGAAAAGCAGCAGGUUAAUACCCCGCUGUUCUGACGGUACCCAAAGAAUAAGCACCGGCUAACUUCGUG